rnacentral:rRNA from 1 species
UUGUGAGUAACACGUGGAUAACCUACCUAUAAGACUGGGAUAACUUCGGGAAACCGGAGCUAAUACCGGAUAAUAUUUUGAACCGCAUGGUUCAAAAGUGAAAGACGGUCUUGCUGUCACUUAUAGAUGGAUCCGCGCUGCAUUAGCUAGUUGGUAAGGUAACGGCUUACCAAGGCAACGAUGCAUAGCCGACCUGAGGGGGUGAUCGGCCACACUGGAACUGAGACACGGUCCAG